rnacentral:lncRNA from 1 species
CAUUUCAUUUCAGAGAGCACACUCCCGCGAACCUCAUCCUUACAGUGGGAUUACCAGUCCAGGCUAAAUCCCCUAUAAUAUAAACUCAUAGAGUAUUGUCGGGAUUACCAGUCCAGGCUAAAUUCAGACCCUAAUUUGGAUUACCCGUCCGGGCUAAAUCCAUUUUACACGUAUUCUUCGGGAGGGCUAUAUCAGAAUAGGAUCACCCGUCCGGGCUAGAUCCUUUUUACCGUCAAUUCCUUUUUAGAGAUCCAUCGAAUUUUCCUUUCAUUCAACCGGGAUUUAUUUUCAAUUUAUAUCGAGUAUUAUCAAUAUUUCAUC